rnacentral:rRNA from 1 species
UGGUGAAUAUUGCACAAUGGAGGGAACUCUGAUGCAGCGACGCCGCGUGAACGAAGAAGGCUUUCGAGCCGUAAAGUUCUUUUAUAUGGGAAGAUAAUGACGGUACCAUAAGCAAAAGCCCCGGCUAACUACGUGCCAGCAGCCGCGGUAAUACGUAGGGGGCUAGCGUUGUCCGGAAUCACUGGGCGUAAAGGGUUCGCAGGCGGAAAUGCAAGUCAGGUGUAAAAGGCAGUAGCUUAACUACUGUAAGCAUUUGAAACUGCAUAUCUUGAGAAGAGUAGAGGUAAGUGGAAUUUUUAGUGGAGCGGUGGAAUGCGUAGAUAUUAAAAAGAAUACCGGUGGCGAAGGCGACAUACUGGGCUAAUUGUGACGAUGAGGAACGAAAGCGUGGGUAGCAAACA